CCUAUCUUGAAAAAAUAUGAUAUUCUCUUUAUUGCGGAUGAGGUAAUUUGUGCAUUUGGAAGGCUUGGAACAAUGUUUGGAUGUGACAAAUAUGGCAUGAAACUAGACCUUGUCCCCAUGGCAAAGGCUCUGUCUUCUGCAUAUA